UGAUGAGAGGAUCCGGACCACGAGUGUGAGUACCGUUGUGAGUGACCAUCGGCGCUAGCUCUCUCAAGAUCGGGUCACUGAAGCUCGUUGAUUCGUAGUCUCAUCUUAGCGUCGUUGAUCCAUUCUGGUCCGAUGGUGGGUCCUGUGUCGGGUCCCUAAUUCGCUGAUUUGUUCAGGGGUUGUUUGUAUGGGUUCUCCUCCAACAACUAAAGCAUAGCUGAUUCGUUGAUUCGUUCAGGGGAGUUUGUCAGCUUUCUAUCUUAAGAGCAACUUCAAAUUUUCUAUUGCAAAGCACUUUUGCCCAGAAAAUGUCCAUCGAUUGCUUGAGUAAGGACAGAAGAUGGAGUAGAGGAGAGUGAAGAAGAAGAGCUAGAAGAUGAGAAGAAGAGAUGUUUCUGUUUUUUUUUUUUUAAUGCCUGCACGUGGCAGAUAAGGUAAAAUUGCACCCUUUUUAAAAAGGGAGCGUACUAAGGACCUUGAAAAUACAUAAUAUUAUACUUUGGAUUUAAAAAAAUUUAAUAUUUUAUUGCAGAUUUAGAA